GCCGGGCACGGUGGCGCGCGCCUGUAGUCCCAGCUACUUGGGAGGCUGAGGCUGGAGGAUCGCUUGAGCCCAGGAGUUCUGGGCUGCAGUGCGCUAUGCUGAUCGGGUGUCCGCGCUAAGUUCAGCAUCAAUAUGGUGACGUCCCGGGAGCGGGGGACCACCAGGUUGCCUAAGGAGGGGUGAACCAGCCCAGGUCAGAAAUGGAGCAGGUCAAAACUCCCAUGCUGAUCAGAAAGUAGAAUGAUUGUUGCCAGGGGGUAGGGGGAGGGAGGCAAAGAGGAGUUGCUGUUCAAUGGAAGAGACUUUCAGUUUU
ensembl:misc_RNA Metazoa_SRP Metazoan signal recognition particle RNA